UACGUAGGGCGCAAGCGUUGUCCGGAAUUAUUGGGCGUAAAGAGCUCGUAGGUGGCUUGUCGCGUCGGGUGUGAAAGCUUGGGGCUUAACUCCAGGUCUGCAUUCGAUACGGGCUGGCUAGAGGUAGGUAGGGGAGAACGGAAUUCCUGGUGUAGCGGUGAAAUGCGCAGAUAUCAGGAGGAACACCGGUGGCGAAGGCGGCUAUCUGGACAGUGACUGACGCUGAGACGCGAAAGCGUGGGGAGCAAACAGG
rnacentral:rRNA from 1 species